rnacentral:rRNA from 1 species
GUCAAGCUACAAAGGGCUCACGGCGGAUACCUUGGCACACAGAGGCGAUGAAGGACGUGGUUACCUGCGAUAAGUCUCGGGGAGCUGGAAACACGCUUUGAUCCGGGAAUUUCCGAAUGGGGCAACCCCUAGAACGGCCAGCUGAAUCUAUAGGCUGGCGCGAGCCAACCCAGCGAACUGAAACAUCUUAGUAGCUGAAGGAAUAAAAAUCAAUAGAGAUUCAUUUAGUAGUGGCGAACGAACGAUGAGUAGCCCAGUAAGCUGACGUAAAGCUUUAUAAAUCGAAGCAGGUAGUUGAAGACCUUUAGUAGAGUAGAGUGUUGGCGGUUAUUGAGUAAAACGGCUAAGUAGCAGUUUGAAGAUAGGAGAAGCAACUUCUAAGGCUAUAAUAUGUUUUGAAGAACGAUAGAGGACCAGUAGCGUGAGCGAAAGUUGAGAAGG